rnacentral:rRNA from 1 species
GAUCAUGGCUCAGGAUGAACGCUAGCUACAGGCUUAACACAUGCAAGUCGAACGGUUAAAGCACCUCCGGGUGUGCAUAAAGUGGCGAACGGCUGAGUAACACGUGGGCAACCUGCCCCCCGCACCGGGAUAGCCUCGGGAAACCGUGGGUAAUACCGGAUACUCCGCCACCCCCGCAUGGGGGAGGCGGGAAAGCGUACACGGCGGGGGAUGGGCCCGCGGCCUGUUAGCUCGUUGGCGGGGUAACGGCCACCAAGGCGAUUAUGGUAGCCGGGUUGAGAGACCGACCGGCCAGAUUGGGACUGAGACACGGCCCAGACUCCUACGGGAGGCAGCAGUGGGGAAUCUUGCACAAUGGGCGAAAGCCUGAUGCAAGCGACGCCGCGUGCGGGACGAAGGCCCUCGGGUUGUAAACCGCUUUCAGCAGGGACGAGGCGCGAGUGACGGUACCUGCAGAAGAAGCCCCGGCUAACUACGUGCCAGCCGCUGC